GCUGCUGGCUGACAAUUAGCACAACAAACUCUGGGAGAUGGGAGCGCUGCGGUGUCUGAGGGACCACGACCGUCAGCUCAGAGACAUUUUCCACUCCGCAGGUCAUCCUCCUCUAACGGCGCCGUCUCAGCCCCCAGCCAGCUGCCAUGCUUCCUGCCGCCUCGCAUCGGACGGCUUGAUAGCGAUGACAUCACCAGUCGUGUUGUGGUACAUUCUCUGCCCCGCUGCCCUUCAUCACCUCUUACUUCGCCUGUGAGUAGGAGUUCGUCCACCUUGCUGGCCAGAGAGCGGACAUUCACCAGGUGAACUGACAGAAGCGCGGUUCGGAAUCCCCACUGUCGCAGUUUAACCAGCGCGCUGGCUCGCUUAACCCAUCGGCGUCUCCACCGGAGCCUGCACAGAGCUGCACCAGCCAAAAGCUUGGCAAGACUUUCCUUAAAACAUUCAGUUAACGUCGGUAAAUAAGUCUGUUUGUCAGUGGACAGCUGGAGGCUUAAAAGUUCUUCCCUGCUGGAUGUGGUCAGUGAGUGGGCGCUGGAAACUACUAGAGAAAGUACAAGAGAGUGUAGGACUGAGGCUACCAUCCAUGGUGCCAGUUUGAUGACUAUAAACGAUUAACAGGAGGAGGAGAAAGGAGGCGUGUUAGCUGAC